GUAGGCUUGAAAACAGCCAUCAUUUAUUUCGUUAUAGUUAAUCUUUACAUUUUGUUUAUUUAAUAUUAGUUUAGAAUUCUAUUAGAACUUUUUAUUUAAUUAUAUUUUAUAUGUGAUAAUGAUAAAAUUAGUAGUUUUGUAUAUUUAAGUAUAGUAAUUCGGCAAAUUUAAUUCUCGCCUGUUUAACAAAAACAUGUCCUUUAGA
rnacentral:rRNA from 1 species